GACGAACGCUGGCGGCGUGCUUAACACAUGCAAGUCGAACGGUGAAGGGGAGCUUGCUCCCCGGAUCAGUGGCGAACGGGUGAGUAACACGUGGACAAUCUGCCCCUGACUUCGGGAUAACCCCUCGAAAGAGGUGCUAAUACCGGAUAUGAACCCUGCAGGCAUCUGCGGGGUUGGAAAGUUUUUCGGUCAGGGAUGAGUCCGCGGCCUAUCAGCUAGUUGGUGAGGUAAUAGCUCACCAAGGCGACGACGGGUAGCCGGCCUGAGAGGGCGACCGGCCACACUGGGACUGAGACACGGCCCAGACUCCUACGGGAGGCAGCAGUGGGGAAUAUUGCGCAAUGGGCGAAAGCCUGACGCAGCAACGCCGCGUGAGGGAUGAAGG
rnacentral:rRNA from 1 species